rnacentral:rRNA from 1 species
GUCGGAUUAGCUAGUUGGUGAGGUAAUGGCUCACCAAGGCAGCGAUCCGUAGCUGGUCUGAGAGGAUGAUCAGCCACAUCGGGACUGAGACACGGCCCGAACUCCUACGGGAGGCAGCAGUGGGGAAUAUUGGACAAUGGGGGCAACCCUGAUCCAGCCAUGCCGCGUGUGUGAAGAAGGCCCUCGGGUUGUAAAGCACUUUCAGCGAGGAAGAACGCCUAGUGGUUAAUACCCAUUAGGAAAGACAUCACUCGCAGAAGAAGCACCGGCUAACUCCGUGCCAGCAGCCGCGGUAAUACGGAGGGUGCAAGCGUUAAUCGGAAUUACUGGGCGUAAAGCGCGCGUAGGUGGCUUGAUAAGCCGGUUGUGAAAGCCCCGGGCUCAACCUGGGAACGGCAUCCGGAACUGUCAGGCUAGAGUGCAGGAGAGGAAGGUAGAAUUCCCGGUGUAGCGGUGAAAUGCGUAGAGAUCGGGAGGAAUACCAGUGGCGAAGGCGGCCUUCUGGACUGACACUGACACUGAGGUGCGAAAGCGUGGGUAGCAAACAGGAUUAGAUACCCUGGUAGUCCACGCCGUAAACGAUGUCGACCAGCCGUUGGGUGCCUAGCGCACUUUGUGGCGAAGUUAACGCGAUAAGUCGACCGCCUGGGGAGUACGGCCGCAAGGUUAAAACUCAAAUGAAUUGACGGGGGCCCGCACAAGCGGUGGAGCAUGUGGUUUAAUUCGAUGCAACGCGAAGAACCUUACCUACCCUUGACAUCGACAGAAGCCGAGAGAGAUCUUGGUGUGCCUUCGGGAACUGUCAGACAGGUGCUGCAUGGCUGUCGUCAGCUCGUGUUGUGAAAUGUUGGGUUAAGUCCCGUAACGAGCGCAACCCUUGUCCUUAUUUGCCAGCGCGUAAUGGCGGGAACUCUAAGGAGACCGCCGGUGACAAACCGGAGGAAGGUGGGGACGACGUCAAGUCAUCAUGGCCCUUACGGGUAGGGCUACACACGUGCUGCAAUGGCCGGUACAAAGGGCAGCGAGCUCGCGAGAGUCAGCGAAUCCCUUAAAGCCGGUCUCAGUCCGGAUCGGAGUCUGCAACUCGACUCCGUGAAGUCGGAAUCGCUAGUAAUCGUGAA